rnacentral:rRNA from 1 species
AGCAGUCGCCGCGGUAAUUCGUAGGUGGCGAGCGUUGUCCGGAAUCAUCGGGCGUAAAGGGAGCGCAGGCGGGCAUGUAAGUCUUUCUUAAAAGUGCGGGGCUCAACCCCGUGAUGGGAAAGAAACUACAUGUCUUGAGUACAGGAGAGGAAAGCGGAAUUCCCAGUGUAGCGGUGAAAUGCGUAGAUAUUGGGAGGAACACCAGUGGCGAAGGCGGCUUUCUGGACUGCAACUGACGCUGAGGCGCGAAAGCCAGGGGAGCGAACGGGAUUAGAUACCCGCGUAGUCCCUGUUUCUUAUACA